rnacentral:rRNA from 1 species
UGCCGCGGUGGGUGAAGUAAGGUUUCGGAUUGUAAAGCCCUUUUGGCAGGGACGAUGAUGACGGUACCUGCAGAAUAAGCCCCGGCUAACUUCGUGC